rnacentral:rRNA from 1 species
GACGAACGCUGGCGGUGUGCUUCACACAUGCAAGUCGAACGAGGUAGCAAUACCUAGUGGCGGACGGGUGAGUAACGCGUGGGAAUCUGCCUUUAGAUGGGGGAUAACGGGUCGAAAGACUCGCUAAUGCCGCAUAUGACGAAAGUUGAAAGGAGUAAUCCGUCUAAAGAUGAGCCCGCGUCCGAUUAGCUAGUUGGUAGAGUAAAAGCCUACCAAGGCGACGAUCGGUAGCUGGUCUGAGAGGAUGAUCAGCCACAAUGGGACUGAGACACGGCCCAUAC